rnacentral:rRNA from 1 species
AAUCAACGCUGGCGGCGUGCCUCAGACAUGCAAGUCGAACGCGAAAGUUCCCUUCGGGGGAUAAGUAGAGUGGCGUCCGGGUGAGUAACACGUAGGUAAUCUACCUUUGGGUGGGGAAUAACAACCGGAAACGGUUGCUAAUACCGCAUAAUGCAGCGGCACCACAUGGUGACAGUUGUUAAAGCGGGGGAUCGCAAGACCUCGCGCCUAAAGAGGAGCCUGCGGCGGAUUAGCUAGUUGGAGGGUAACGGCCUACCAAGGCAACGAUCCGUAGCCGGCCUGAGAGGGCGGUCGGCCACACUGACACUGAAAUACGGGUCAGACUCCUACGGGAGGCAGCAGUCGGGGAAUUUUGGGCAAUGGGCGAAAGCCUGACCCAGCAACGCCGCGUGAAGGAUGGAAUCCCUCGGGAUGUAACUUCGCAAGAACAGGAAGAAUAAGUAGGGGACAAUACCCCCUAUGAUGACGGUACUGUUGUAAGCUCCGGCUAACUCCGUGCCAGCCGCCGCAGUAAC